GACGAACGCUGGCGGCGUGCUUAACACAUGCAAGUCGAACGGAAAGGCCCUGCUUUUGUGGGGUGCUCGAGUGGCGAACGGGUGAGUAACACGUGAGUAACCUGCCCUUGACUUUGGGAUAACUUCAGGAAACUGGGGCUAAUACCGGAUAGGAGCUCCUGCUGCAUGGGGGGGGUUGGAAAGUUUCGGCGGUUGGGGAUGGACUCGCGGCUUAUCAGCUUGUUGGUGGGGUAGUGGCUUACCAAGGCUUUGACGGGUAGCCGGCCUGAGAGGGUGACCGGCCACAUUGGGACUGAGAUACGGCCCAGACUCCUACGGGAGGCAGCAGUGGGGAAUAUUGCACAAUGGGCGGAAGCCUGAUGCAGCAACGCCGCGUGCGGGAUGACGGCCUUCGGGUUGUAAACCGCUUUCGCCUGUGACGAAGCGUGAGUGACGGUAAUGGGUACAGAAGCACCGGCUAACUACGUG
rnacentral:rRNA from 1 species